UACGUAGGGUGCAAGCGUUGUCCGGAAUUAUUGGGCGUAAAGAGCUCGUAGGUGGCCUGUCGCGUCGGCUGUGAAAACUCGGGGCUCAACUCCGAGCUUGCAGUCGAUACGGGCAGGCUAGAGUUCGGCAGGGGAGACUGGAAUUCCUGGUGUAGCGGUGAAAUGCGCAGAUAUCAGGAGGAACACCGGUGGCGAAGGCAGAUCUCUGGGCCGUAACUGACGCUGAGGAGCGAAAGCGUGGGGAGCGAACAGG
rnacentral:rRNA from 1 species